UACGUAGGGAGCAAGCGUUGUCCGGAUUUAUUGGGCGUAAAGGGCUCGUAGGCGGUUCGGUAAGUCGGGUGUGAAAACUUCAGGCUCAACCUGGAGAUGCCACUCGAUACUGCUGUGACUUGAAUCUGGUAGGGGAGCACGGAAUUCCUGGUGUAGCGGUGAAAUGCACAGAUAUCAGGAGGAACACCGGUGGCGAAGGCGGUGCUCUGGGCCAGUAUUGGACGCUGAUGGAGCGAAAAGCGUGGGGAGCGAAC
rnacentral:rRNA from 1 species